rnacentral:lncRNA from 7 species
AGAGCUUAGGUGGCUGAGAAGCAGCAUGCAGCAGGAAUGCAGUGCAGGUGAGCAGGCUUACGAAUGUGCUGCAUUACUUCUUACUUUCCUUGGUGCAAGUGAAAAGCUAUGCCAUGAAUCUGCCCCCUGAUAUUUCAGAGUUUAAACCCAUUACCCCUUGUCCUGACAGGACAACAUGUGACAGGACAACAUUCUACCUACAUGUGAAAAGUUGGUCCCCUUGCUGCUUGUGAACUCCUUUCAAGUACUGGAAGAUCACAAUGAGGUCUCCCUGGAGCCUUUUCUUCACCUGCUGGAGGUGACUUCUGAGUGAGCACGUUAACUGUUGGUCAAGAACCUUUUCAAAAUUGUAGUUGAGCUUCCUUUACAGAGAAAAACUAAGGAUGUUUAAAUUGGUGCAGAAGAGGCCCAUGUCACAGAGGUGGCAAACACAUGGUGCUGAAGGUGCAGCUGAGGAGUUUGAGCUGGGCAGCUGCAGCAUGGAGGAAGUGCUGCUUUCUGAGUUGCACAGCUAACACUUGGAUGACUUUGGGUUCUUCUAAGUCCUCCCAUGAGUGACUGUUUUCUGCGACUCAGCUCCCAUAUCUGCUAGGAGAACAGCAGUGUGUUUGUCAGCCCACGGGAGUGAAAGAGUCAGCUCUGCUAAAUGCUGCAACCUCUUUGGCUGGACAGUGUUGUGGACAGUGUCUCUUCAGUCGAGUUCAAGUCAUUAGUCCUUCUGCAGAUCGGCUUUUUCAGACAGCAGAAUUUCCUGCAAGUCCCGAGUCUUUUGUCACCAUUUCAAUGAUGAUGGAAUUUACAGGAGCGGCUCACUCUGUGUUUUUCUCAAGGCACAGAAGUCAUCCAGCUGCCAUCUGGACAAAGUGCUAAAUAAGCAAUAUUACAAAAAAGAAGAAAGAAAACUUUGACAGCGAAGGGAAGGGAAAUGCAGCUAAAAAUAUCACACAGUUUCAAUCAUGAGCAUAGAAGAGGAACUGAAUUGGGAAGAGGGCAGCAAGCUUCAAACACGCGGAAGGCUGGCAUGGAAAGCAAGGGAGCAGCCUUUGUUUCCAAUGCCUUUAUCUCAACCUACUCUCUGCUAUCCCACUGUGGGGAGUGAGCAAAUGCUGUGUGAUGCCAAGCUGCCUGCUGGGAUAAACCAGAACACAGUGUUGAAUACUGGGGUAAACCCUCAACGCUACUUAAGAGGUCUGUGAGAACAAAACUUCCAACGUCUACUGCAUGGCCAUGGAAAAAGAGUCAGAUGCACAAUCAAGAAGAUACAAGACCUGAUUUCUGAUGCAAUAGGUUUCCUUCUGCUGCAUUUCUUUCACAUCAGGCACAGACUCAAAACAUGCACAGUGUUGCAGUUUGCAGUAGUACCCUCUGGAUUAUCAUCCCAUUGAAACAACUGAUAAACCACAGAGAGAAGCCACUGAAAUGUGUGACUUGACCUACCCUAGCUAAAGUCAGCGAAAAUAGCAAGUGAGAGAGGGAGUGCUAAUUCCCCUCCAAGCUGAUGCCUCGGUUCUUCUCCCUUUGCUCCCCCCAGGCUCUCCCUGGCACGGUGCUUUCUCCAGGCUCUGAAGUACAACUGUGCUUUAAAAACCCCAUAGAGCCAGAGGCAUUUCCCCCCUCGCUUUUAUUCACUUUACUUGAUGUGCUGAUGUUGCUUUGUAGAAAGAAGCCCUCUGUUGCAGUGUGUGUUGGGAGGGGGGUGACAGACGGUUAAAGCUGUGCCUUCUGGAUGGAGAGAAUCGAAUUCACUUUGCUUUCAUGAGCUAUCCCACUGCAUGGGCAAGCAAAAUACAUUACUCCCCAUGGUCGUGGGUUGCGAACACAUGAGUAAUGGCACUGAGGAACUGUGAAAUAGCUUUAUGUAUCAUCAAAUGCUGUUAAGGAUCAGAAAACCCAAUGAAUACCAGGGUGUUCAGGCUCACAGUCAGGUUUCUCCUUUUCAACUGUGCUUGCCCCCUGUGGUGUUCAGAAGUCAGAUCUCUGUGCAGCAAAACCUCCUCCUUUCUCCCACUCUUACUCUGGCUUUGUUAUCUGCAAUGGAAUGGGUUAUGAAUGUCUCUCUGUUCGAGAUCUGGAGACUCCCUUUCCCUGAGAUGGGGAGGAACUUUCCAGACCCCGGGGAGGACACCUGACUGAUGGGGUGACCAAAGAGCCUUUGUCAUCUGCACGGGGACAUCCAUUUAUGGAGCUCAGGAUGCCUGACUGAAGGGGAGCCAAGACCAGAUGGGCAGAUCUGCCCACCCAUCGGUUUCACAGAAGGCUCUGAGCCUCCGUGUCCUCUCAGAGUCAUGGGAGCCCCAUAUUUGGUGGAAAGAAAAAAGAGCCUCUCAGCACAGUGUCUGAUUGUGGUGGGUAACUGCAAUAUCCUAUGCUUCAGGGAACUCCCUUCUUCCUAAGCCUCUGCAAAAUGACUCAAGGACUGUACUGCAAUCAGCUGGGGAUUGCUGUCAUCUGAUAGCUCUGGAGCAUCUGCCCUGAUUGUCUAUAGCACCCUUGAUCUCUGCAAGUAAGUCUGGAAGGAGAGUAAUAGGCCAAGCUGAGCAAAAGUAGCUUUUUGCAAUGACAGGUAUAACCCAAAUAUGAAGAGCAGUAGUGAAGAUUUUCCUGGGGUCUUCUUUUCAGUGCUAUUGCAGAUAGCAGUUAAGUAAAUUACUGUUGGAGAGUUUCAUUGUGGUAGUGCCCUGUGUGUCAUUUUAUUUUUCCAGGGGAGCUUGUUUUUGGAAGGAUGUAUCCACAAGGACUAAUAAAGCAGUCCGAAAU